CGGAAGGGUAGAUAGGUCCCCUCCUCUGCCCCGUGGAUCCCGAGGCGCCUCGUGCCGAAAGCGCGCAGGGCCCGCCACCCAGAAGCCCACUGGCCUCGCUGCGGUGGGGUCUCCGGCGGCCCGAGUUACAACGUUCUUUUCCCCUCCUCCCCGCUCCCGCCCGCUGCCGCCGCUCACGCGCCACUGCCGCUACCUCGGUCGUAAAGUCCGCGCGGGGCCGCGUUCUGUCGAUCCCGCAGAGAGGGAGGCGGUUUGCACCUGGUGGGUCUCCGCGCCGGGUCCUGACCAAGGUGCCUAUUCGAGUUAUUUGCAAGCCGUCAGAAUUCUGCUUACAGUAUAUGUGUGUUCUGCAUCCCUGCAGCUGCAGAAGAAAUUUUAGUAACCCCCUCCGUACCUGCCUUCAUUUAAAGAAGAAAGAAAAAAAAAUCUGAAACAAAGUGAAAAUAACCUUGCACUAGGAUGCUGUGGGCGAGAGGAAAAGAAGAGUUAUUUUACAACGAACUUUAAUUUUUUUUUAAAUAAUGGAAUCCUUAAUUGUUUUGAACGUAAUGGUGCAAUACAUUAAAGUGGUGGACAAUGACUAUUAGAGGUAGCUUGUGUUUGAGGAUUUGGGAGCCCGCUGAAAGGUAAGUCUUGUGUACUUAUUUCAUAAAUAAUGAUUUUUCUGCAUAUACAGAUAGAAUUGGGAAUUUUUUUUUAUUUUUUAGCAACUGCAUAAACCGUUCUUUAAAAGUUAAAAAGGUCUAAGAGACAAAAAGGAAAAUAUAUUUGAUUAAACAGUUAACAUAAGUUCCAAAAAUACAUUAUUUUGUGCUUUCAUUAUUUUAAAUUUCUAUGCUAUGCUCCAUUCUGAACUUGGGAUCCAAACUUCCUUUGAAAGAUACUAGUUAAAAGGCAAAAAGUGGCUUUAAAUCUACAUUAAUCUGGAAACUGACAUGCUAUACUUUCUCAGUAUGACUAAGUAGUAAACGACAGUUUAAAUUACAAAGAAUACAAAAAUUGUAGACCUAAGGAAUUCACUAGUGGCUUGACAAGUUAAGGAUCCCAUGAUUUUCACUGCUGUGGUUCAGGUUCCAUCAUUCCUACUAAAAUUUCCACAAGCUGUGGACCUAGGCAAAAUAUAAAGAAGAGAGCAAGGGAGCAAGAGAACCAAUACAAUACUGGUAUACAAAUCUCUUUUUAUGUAGAGGACAAAUAUAUUUUAGUUUCCUAUCAUACACACUAUCAGAACUCCCAGAAUGUGUGUUCUUCCUUCAUACACCUUAAAAUCAUGAAAUGCUUUAGAAAAGGAAAGAUAGGAGUUCCUAUCGUGGCACAGUGGAACAAUCUGACUAGGAACUCUGAGGUUGUAGGUUUGAUCCCUGGCCUUGCUCAGGGGGUUGGGGAUAUGGCAUUGCAGUGAGCUGAGGCGUGGUUAGAAGACUCAGCUCAGAUGUGGUAUUGCUGUGGCAUAGGCCAGCGCUGUAGCUACAAUUAGACCCCUAGCCUGGGAACCUCCAUAUGCUGGGAGUGCAGCCCUAAAAAGCCAAAAAAUAAAAUAAUCAAAUAUAAUGAGAUUUUAUUUUAAAAAGGAAAGAUAAAUGUAUAGUAAAAAUAACCUCUGAGAAGUCUCUUGAUGAGAACUUCCUCUCAAUUUUCAGCUUUUUUUUUCCUAGGUAACUAGAUUUUUUUUUUCAGAAAUCACAAAAGACAACAUGUCUUUAUAGAAAAUUACAAAAGUCUGUGCUGGAAUAUAUUUCACGAGGUGAAUAAAACAAAUACUUUUCAAGUAAAAAAGAACUAGCUUAAGCUCAAAUAUAAUUAAUGUAAUUUCAAAAUAAAUGUUUAAAUAUUUUCUAAGGCCUUGUUUUAUAUUGUGCUCUACAUUGAAUGGGCCUGACAUCACCCUUACAACUCUAGCACCAUGUCAGUAUUAUUGUUAGAUCUCCCAUGAUUACAAAAUAUGCUAGUAAGACCAUCGUAUAAGGCACUAGGAAAGAGUGGCCACAUAAUAAAAAGAUAUUUCCUCAUUGCAAAGAUGAGAAUAGACACAGAAAAACUUAUGACAAAAUUCAACACCCACUUUUGAUAAAAACUCUUCAGAAAGUGAGCAUAGAGAGAGAACCUACAUUAGUAUAAAAGCCACAUAUGACAAGCCCACAGCUAACAUCGUUCUCAGUUGUAAAAAGCUGAAAGAAUUUAUGCUAAAGGAACAAGAAAAGGAUGUACACUCUCACCACUAUUAUUCAUCAUAGUUUUGUAAAUCCUAGCCGCAGCAAUCAGAGAAGAAAAAGAAAGAAACCCAAAAUGGAAAAGAUGAAGUAAACUAUCAGUUUGCAGAUGACCCUAAUAAUGACAUUACCAGAAAACUGUCAGAGCUCAUCAAUGAGUUUGGUAAAGUUGCAGAAUAUAAAAUUAAUACACAUACAGAGUUCCCGUCAAGGCGCAGGGGAAAUGAAUCCAACCUAGGAACCAUGAGGUUGCGGGUCUGACACCUGGCCUCGCCUAGUGGGUUAGGGAUCCAGCAUUGCCAUGAGCUUUGGUGUAGGUCGCAGACACAGCUCAGAUCUGGCUUUGCUGUGACUCUAGUGUAAGCCAAUAGCUACAGUUCCAAUUGGACCCCUAGCCUGGGAACCUCCAUAUACCGCAGAUGCAGCUCUAAAAAAGACAAAAAAACAAAUUUUUUUAAAUAAAUUAAAUGAAUACAUUUAAUUUAAUCUCUUGUGUUUCUGUAGUCUCACAAGGAAAGAUCAGAAAGAGAAAUUAGGGAAAUAGUCCCAUUUACCAUGCCAUGAAAGAAAAUAAAAUGCCUAGGAAUAAACUGACCUAAAAGACAAAAGAGCAAUCCUCUGAAAACUAUAAGACACUGAUAAGAGAAAUCAGUGAUGCCACAAAUACAAGGAAAGAUAUACCAUGCUCUUGGAUUAGAAGAAUACAUAUAGUCAAAAUGACUAUACCACCCAAGGCAAUGCUUAGAUUCAAUGCAAUCCCUAUCAAAUUACAAAUGAUAUUCUUCACAGAACUAGAACAAAAUAUUUUAAAAUUUGUAGGGAAACACAAAAGAUCCCAAAUAGCCAAGGCAACCUUGAAAAAGAAAAAAAUGGAACUGGAGGAAUCAGGCUCACUGACUUCAGACUAUACUACAAAGCUACAAUUAUCAAAACAGUAUGGUACUGGCACAAAAACAGAAAUAAAGAUCAAUGGAACAGAAUAGAAAGCCCAGAAAUAAACCCAACACCUGUGGUUGAUUAAUCUACAACAAAGGAGGCAAGGAUAUACAAUGGAGAAAAGACAGCCCCUUCAAUAAAAUAGUGCUGGGGAAACUGGACAGCUACAAGGUAAAAGAAUGAAAUUAGAACACCCUCUAGGAGUUCAUGCCGUGGGUGCAGCGGAAACAAAUCCAGCUAGGAACGAUGAGGUUUCAGGUCCGAUCCCUGGCCUCACACAGUGGAUUAAGGAUCCAGCGUUGCCAUGAGCUGUGGUGUAGGUCACAGAGGCAGCUCAAAUUCUGCAUAGCUGUGGUUGUGGUGUAGGCCAGCAGCUGUGGCUCCAAAUGGACCCCUAGCCUGG
rnacentral:lncRNA from 1 species